rnacentral:ncRNA from 2 species
UAUGCUACAAUAAUAAAGUUGCUUAGCAACCCUUGGUGCUUAGUUCCCUUUCGCCAAGCAUAUUACAAACGGCAUCAAUCAUUUUCAAUUGAUGUAUCGUUAAAGGAGAAAAAAAUG